rnacentral:rRNA from 1 species
ACCAGACUCCUACGGGAGGCAGCAGUGGGGGAUAUUGCACAAUGGGGGGAACCCUGAUGCAGCGACGCCGCGUGGGUGAAGAAGCGCCUCGGCGCGUAAAGCCCUGUCAGCAGGGAAGAAAAUGACGGUACCUGAAGAAGAAGCCCCGGCUAACUACGUGCCGGCAGCCGCGGUAAUACGUAGGGGGCAAGCGUUAUCCGGAUUUACUGGGUGUAAAGGGGGCGCAGACGGCGAUGCAAGCCAGGAGUGAAAGCCCGGGGCCCAACCCCGGGACUGCUCUUGGAACUGCGUGGCUGGAGUGCAGGAGGGGCAGGCGGAAUUCCUGGUGUAGCGGUGAAAUGCGUAGAUAUCAGGAGGAACACCGGUGGCGAAGGCGGCCUGCUGGACUGCAACUGACGUUGAGGCCCGAAAGCGUGGGGAGCAAACAGGAUUAGAUACCCCAGUAC